UAGGGAAUCUUGCGCAAUGCGCGAAAGCGUGACGCAGCAACGCCGCGUGGGGGAAGAAGGCCUUCGGGUUGUAAACCCCUUUCAGUUGGGACGAAGCUCCGUCGGUGAACAGUCGGCUGGAGUGACGGUACCUUCAGAAGAAGCCCCGGCUAACUACGUGCCAGCAGCCGCGGUAAUACGUAGGGGGCUAGCGUUGUCCGGAAUCAUUGGGCGUAAAGAGCGUGUAGGCGGGCUCGGGUAAGUCCGCUCUGAAAGCCCGGGGCUCAACCCCGGGAGGCGGGCGGAUACUGUCGAGCUAGAGUCCGGAAGAGGCGAGUGGAAUUCCUGGUGUAGCGGUGAAAUGCGCAGAUAUCAGGAGGAACACCAAUAGCGAAGGCAGCUCGCUGGGACGGCACUGACGCUGAGACGCGAAAGCGUGGGGAGCAAACAGGAUUAGAUACCCUGGUAGUCCACGCUGUAAACGAUGGGCACUAGGUGUGGGGGGUGUCGACUCCCCCCGUGCCGGCGCUAACGCAUUAAGUGCCCCGCC
rnacentral:rRNA from 1 species